rnacentral:rRNA from 1 species
CAGAGGGGGCAAGCGUUAUUCGGAAUUAUUGGGCGUAAAGGGCGCGUAGGCGGCCUGGCAAGUGGAAGGUGAAAUCCCUCGGCUUAACCGAGGAACUGCCCUCCAAACUGCUUGGCUUGAGACCAGGAGAGGUGAGUGGAAUUCCCAGUGUAGCGGUGAAAUGCGUAGAUAUUGGGAGGAACACCAGUGGCGAAGGCGGCUCACUGGACUGGUACUGACGCUGAGGCGCGAAAGCGUGGGGAGCAAACGGGAUUAGAUACCCCGGUAGUCCACGCCGUAAACGAUGAGUGCUUGGUGUAGCGGGUAUCGACCCCUGCUGUGCCGAAGUCAACACAUUAAGCACUCCGCCUGGGGAGUACGGUCGCAAGGCUG